rnacentral:rRNA from 1 species
AGUGAACGCUGGCGGUAGGCCUAACACAUGCAAGUCGAACGGCAGCACACUAAGAGCUUGCUCUUACGGGUUGCGAGUGGCGGACGGGUGAGGAAUACAUCGGAAUCUACUUUUUCGUGGGGGAUAACGUAGGUAAACUUACUCUAAUACCGCAUACGACCUACGGUUGAAAGCAGGGGAUCUUCGGACCUUGCGCGAUUGAAUGAGCCGAUGUCGGAUUAGCUAGUUGGCGGGGUAAAGGCCCACCAAGGCGACGAUCCGUAGCUGGUCUGAGAGGAUGAUAGGCCACACUGGAACGGAGACAGGGUCCAGACUCCUACGGGAGGCAGCAGUGGGGAAUAUUAGACAAUGGGCGCAAGCCUGAUCCAGCCAUACCGAGUGGGUGAAGAAGGCCUUCGGGUUGUAAAGCCCUUUUGUUGGGAAAGAAAAGCAGCAGGUUAAUACCCCGCUGUUCUGACGGUACCCAAAGAAUAAGCACCGGCUAACUUCGUG